rnacentral:rRNA from 1 species
GACGAACGCUGGCGGCGUGCUUAACACAUGCAAGUCGAACGGAAAGGCCCUGCUUUUGGGGUGUUCUCGAGUCGCACACGUGUGUGUCACGUGUGUGUAACCUGCCCUUGUUUUUGGUAUACCUUCAAGACUCGGUGUCUUAUCGCAGAUAGGACCUCCUGCGUCAUGGGGUGGGAUGGAAAGUUUCGUCGGGUGGGGGUUGACUCGCGGCUUAUCUGCUUGUUGGUGGGUUAGUGGCUUACCAAGGGUCGGACGGGUAGCCGGCCUGGGUGGGUGACCGGCAAAAUUGGGCCUGAGAUACGGCCAAGACCCCUACGGGAGGCAGCAGUGGGGAAUAUUCAAAAAUGGGGGGAAGCCUGAGGCAGCAACGCCGGGUGGGGGAUGACGGCUUUCGGGUUGUAAACCGCUUUGGCAUGUAAGGAACCGUGUGUGACGGUAAUUAGUAAAGAAGCACCGGCUAACUACGUG